rnacentral:lncRNA from 1 species
GAAGAUUUUUUUCCUCGUGCUACUUUGACGCUUUUCCUCUAGCAGGACGAAGCUUUUUCAUAAAUGGUUGAAGCGAAUGUAUACACCGGUUGCAUCAUUUGUCUACCCUGAUUACUGUUGAGUAAAUAGGCAAUUUUCCCACCACCUUGUCAUGCCACCACCUACAUGGGCCCCUGGAGAUUUUUUUUAAAUUAGUCUUAUGGGCCUAAGGCCCAUCUCUAAUUUCAACAAUUACGACUUCUGCCUCCCUGACAGCUAGUAGCAAAUGUAUACAUCGGUUGUAGCAUUUUUCCAGCAGCUAGUACAAAUGUAUACAAUGGUUGUAGAAUUUGUUCCAGCAGCUCGCCGGGGGUGAAUCCCGCAGCUCGCCGUCGUCACUGGUUCCAGCAAAACCAGUACACGAUUGCAGCUCCCGCCCCAGCCGGUUGUGAGAGCUGUGUGCUUUGCCGUCAUGGUUGCCGGUUGAGGUGGUAGCUCCUCCUGCAAAGGUCGCAGCAGCCCUCAAGCAGAUCAUAGCUCACCGGCUUGUGGAUGCAACUCGGCCGCCCCCGAUGUAGUCGUCGGCGUGCUCGCCGUUGAUUGUUGUCGGCGGCGCGCUAAAUAGCUGCAAAAGUAGCGGUGGAUGGGAGGGAUGACGGAACUGUGGGGGAACAACGCAGGGAGCACGUGAAGGUGGAAGGAGAGGAGGAAGAUGAGAAUGAAAUGAAG